CUAAAAGCACUACGUCAUUGUUUGUUGAUUUUCUCGAAAUAAGAUCAUUCAAAUUAAAACUUCCUACUAAUUCGAUCAGUUUGUGAUGUAGUAAACAAAAACAGUUUUCACACAUACAAACUUACGUCGGUCCAUCCAACCAAUGAAGUUGACAACAGCUUUGAACCAACUAGAGGUGUGAAAAUUGUCACACACCUGUAGCUCUGUUAUAAACAGUCUUGUGUAGCAACGCAGCCCCAUAAUGAACGCCAAACGGGAGGCACUUUGUUCUCAACGUAGGCCAUUGCGCGAUGACCUACAUAGUAAAAUACACACCGACGGGUGAGAGUAAUCGUCACCGAUGAUGUAAUAGUUUCGAGAUGUCAUAAAAUGCAUAAAACUGCUCUGCUAAUGCUAAUUAAGACAAUUCAAUAGAAUAAAAUAGUUUUUCAUUGAUAUUGUCCGUGAAUAGUCCGUUUUUCAUUGAUAUUGCCCGUGAAUAGUGAAACAUUUCUUUUGAAUCAAAGUUUAUGAAAAUCGCUCUUUCUGGACAAAUUCGACAGACUUUUGUUAUAUUACAGAAGGAAUCAUAAUCGGAAUUCGUCGGAACUUCUCUACAUACGACACUUGAGUUGCGUUUUUUCGUAUACGCUAAAUUUAAUUCCGCAGUUUUUUUUUUGCAAAAACGUAUGCUAAAUCAAUAUAAAUAACCAAUAUUUCGUGUGGAACAUGAGGUAGCUUAUUCUUUAAUAGUUUGCUUGUUGUUAUCCUAUGUAUAUGAAUACCUUCCACAACUUAUCUAGACAAUCUUAGGGAAGACUAUAUUAGGACCGAUAUAGAACUGGGAAUAACAUAAAGUGGUAUCCAAGGUUUUCGAUCAGGACGAAGGCAUAAGUACCCAGAAGUCUGAUAACCGAAGGACAACCUGCACAGUUAAUGUGAGUCACAGAAGAUAGAUUUUCACACUGCGAUGCAUGAAUUUUAUUUUACAAAAUUAUGCCUAUUUUAUCUGGACGAUCAGUCCAACGCUAGUUUUCAUUACAGAAUUCUGUAAAUAAAUAUAUAAUAUAUACGGUAAAUUUGAAAAGUCACCGUGUACGAUAAAAAUCAUACCGUCAGCAUGGCAGAAUUAACUUCGAAUUACCGAACUUCUAUAAAUACUGAUUGUUAUGAAAACUAAUAAUAGAACAAUUAUUAACAUUUUUAGUAAGUGUCGAAAAAAUUUUCGCCGGUGGUCAUCGAAUGGAUUCAGGUAUA